rnacentral:misc_RNA from 1 species
UUUCCGUAGGUGAACCUGCGGAAGGAUCAUUAUCGUAAAACCGAGGUGCGAGGGCUUUCGCUGACCUUUUCGGUCGUGCACGCCCGAGCGCUCUCACACAAUCCAUCUCACCCCUUGUUCACCACCGCGCGGGUCCCUUUCUGGCUCGUCCGGAGGGGGGCUCGCGUUUUCACACAAACUUGAAGUAGUGUAGAAUGUCCUUUUUUUGCGAUAACACGCAAUCAAUACAACUUUCAACAACGGAUCUCUUGGCUCUC